UUAGUUUCUGAACUCACAUUCACGGUCAAAAAGUAUUCUCUCUUGUUACUUGUAAUGUGCCCUACUUUCAAGUCCUGCUACUUGCUUUUACUGUAUUUAAACUGGAAUGUUUUGAUUAAGAUUUUUCCGCAAUCACAACUAUAUGAUUACUUAAUACUUUUACCCUUUUGUCUUCCUACUGCUUCUGCUUAGUUCAAUAUUUAUUUUAGCAUGUUGUAAUCUACCUGUGCUGCAUCUACUAUACAUCCUAAAUGUGUUUGAGUCUAGUAGUUUGUUUGAGGCAUGAUAGUAUUAAGUAUUACUGUCUAUGACUCAAACUUGAUUCCCCUAUUAUCAUAACCUUUAUGUCACUAUCAUAUAUUGUGUAUUCUUGUUGAUUUUGUAAGCAUAAUAGCAGUCUCUAUUGUUGUGCAUGCCCAGAAUUAGAUGAGGCCUAAGUACAUAGGCUCUUUGCAAUCCCCAAUCCUUGAACCCUUUUGUGUGAAAUCCUCAAUCCUGUAACUGUUUCCCAGCACCUCUUCCCUUCCUCUUUACUUUCUUAGUUCUUUAAAACUAUGUUUCUUCACUUGCACUCUCUCUUAGACUUUAAGUUCUACCCACCCUCUUGUGAGCCUUUCCUUGGGACCCAUUAAGCUCCCUAUGAACUUGGACACUUGAGAGAUUGCCCUUCCAGACUACGCUUGUCCCUAUUUUGGUAAUACAAUUUGGGUGUGAGAACCGUCCGGAGUCCCAUUGAGGCUAUUAGGGAACUCUAACACAUUCAAAUUGGAGAAAGGCUUUGGAUCGAUGGUCUUUGAGUUGGUCUAUUUCAUAAUUCAGACAGGAAGUCAAAAUCAGGCUUCCUCUAGUU
rnacentral:lncRNA from 1 species